AGAGUUUGAUCCUGGCUCAGGAUGAACGCUAGCUACAGGCUUAACACAUGCAAGUCGAGGGGAAACGAUAUUGGAAGCUUGCUUCCGAUAGGCGUCGACCGGCGCACGGGUGAGUAACGCGUAUCCAACCUGCCCACCACUUGGGGAUAACCUUGCGAAAGUAAGACUAAUACCCAAUGAUAUCUCUAGAAGACAUCUGAAAGAGAUUAAAGAUUUAUCGGUGAUGGAUGGGGAUGCGUCUGAUUAGCUUGUUGGCGGGGUAACGCCCACAAGGCGACGAUCAGUAGGGGUUCUGAGAGGAAGGUCCCCCANAUUGGAACUGAGACACGGUCCAACUCCUACGGGAGCA
rnacentral:rRNA from 1 species